UCCCUGAGAGCUCAGCUGGUAAAGAAUCUGCCUGCAAUGCAGGAGACCCUGGUUCGAUUCCUGGGUUGGGAA
rnacentral:tRNA from 1 species